AGCAUCUGAUCUCAGGUCAGCGCUCCAUGCAUGCGUGAGACGAAUGGAGCUAAUCACCUAAUCACCAGCAGGCCCCUUGACACCCGAGGUCACUGGAGUUAGAUCUAACCGAGCCCCUCAGAACUGCAAAACAAGGACGUCCAGCUACAAAGAACUGCUUUCAGGACAAAUAACAAAGCAGCAAGGAUAGAGUUUCAAGCGCAUCUAAGCAGCAAAAAUGAUGGGAAGAGGAAAGCAGCAUCUCCACUGCACGAACGGCCUGUCAUCGUCAUUUGACAGCUGGACCAAAAAUAGCCCCGUGGUUGAGCGUGACUCCUGCGAACUCGUCGAGUAGAUGCCUCUGCCAAUCAGCAGGACGGACUUCUUGUCCUGGUCAUAAGGACCGUCUUUCUGUAACGUCUCGGCUGCACAGCGACUCUGCCGCUACUGUUUUGCUGUCUUAGUUGUGGCGUAGUCACUCUCCACAGCUCGGCAGAGUAUCAUGCAGAGCUCCUCUCUCUCUGUGCAGUCAUGUGCACAUGGCAGGCCGCCCACUCGUCCAGCAUGUGCUGGAGGCGGCAGGGCUGCGUGUGUCAGCGCGUCUGCAUUGGACACGCCACGGACUCAACGUCCGAUUGGAGCUCAGCGGUACGUAACUUACACCGGGGAUAUAGAUGUAAAUAGAGAUGUGCCAACGAGAUGUGGAACAGACACAGCCGCGAGGAUGAAAGCGUGCAAAAAUAUCUACGGUCUAUAGACUACAAGAUAUUUGGCCUGGAAGACACAAUUAGAAACUUCCAUAGUUUCUGAAUUGGGAAUUCUAAAUGCACGAAAGGACAAAUGUCAAAUUUAUGGCUACUACCACUCUGGCACUGCACCUUUGACUGAACAAGCGAAAACACACAAACCUUGUUCCACAGACAAUAUUUGCCAUAACACUUUCCAGUUUUGUAGAAACAACAUUAUAGUUAAUUCAACAAACUGCAGCCUGAUAUCAGGUUCUGUUUUCAUGUUCAAGUAUUCAUUUGUUAAGCAGCUGUAUAAUAAGAAAGAUAAAAUACAAUCGGAUGUCAUAAUUGCAAUUGCAGUAUAUUUUGUUCCCUUUAAAUAUUUUUGUGUAUUGUUAUUACCUAUUUAUUUAUUUAUUCCACUUUUAUUAUUUUUAUUAUCUGUGUCUUGUCACUGUCAUUCAGUUUGUACUGUGGAACCUUCGGUCAUCAAAACAAAUCCCUCGUAUGUGUAAACAUACCCGUCAAUAAAGCUUUUUCUGAUUCUGAUUCUAAAUGCGACGUUGAAUUAUACUAGUUACAUAGUCAUGUUAUUGUCAUGUAAAU